rnacentral:rRNA from 1 species
CCUACGGGAGGCAGCAGUAGGGAAUUUUGCGCAAUGGGGGAAACCCUGACGCAGCAACGCCGCGUGAUCGAUGAAGCCCUUCGGGGUGGAAAGAUCUGUCAGUGGGGACGAAACAUGCCGGUACCCACAGAGGAAGCACCGGCUAACUCCGUGGCAGCAGACGAGGUAAUACGGGGGGUGCAAGCGUUGUCCGGAAUCAUUGGGUGGAAAGGGUUCGUAGGUGGCACGUGAAGUCUGGUGUUGAACGCGGAAGCUCAACUUCCGGCGGGCAUUGGAUAAUGGCGAGCUUGAAUGCGGUAGAGGUAAAGGGAAUUCCUGGUGUAGCGGUGAAAUACGUAGAUAUCAGGAGGAACAUCGGUGGCGUAGGCGCUUUACUGGGCCGUAAUUGACACUGAGGAACGAAAGCCGGGGUAGCAAAUGGGAUUAGAUACCCUAGUAGUC